ensembl:snoRNA
GCACACGUGAUGUGGACACAACAGUAUGAGGCAACUAUGACACUGUAAACGCUUUCUGAUGUG